rnacentral:tRNA from 1 species
AAUUAAUGAACUUGAAUAAGUUUAUGUUUUGAAAACAUAUAAAAGAAAUUCUUAAUUUUCUAUUAAUUU